UACGGUAUGCAGCAAGGUUAAGCACCUAAGGUGCGGAGCCGAAGGGAAACCAAGUCUGAAUAGGGCGACUAGUUGCAUGCUGUAGACCCGAAACCGAGUGACCUAUCCAUGGACAGGGUGAAGCGGAAGUAAAAUUCCGUGGAGGCCCGAACACAUUGGUGUUGAAAACCAUGGGAUGAGCUGUGGAUAGGGGAGAAAUUCCAAUCGAACUCGGAUAUAGCUGG
rnacentral:ncRNA from 1 species